AGAGCCGGUCCCUGGGUGAACGAUGAUAACCAGCACGAUACCAACGAUGACAGCGAUGAAGGUCGUCCACAGAUCCACGGCAGAGGAGAACGGGUGAACCUGAAGAAAUGUGGGUCCUGUUUAACUCUGAGGAGCUCAUCCAGUCUGAGGGAGGAAACACUGACUGACUUAUUCCUGGUAAAGCAGUGUCUAAAAGGAUUAUCCCUAUCCCAUGUGAACAUAGUCUCCUUUAGAGACACUCAGGCUUAUUAAAGAGGCUAAAGGUAAGACUUCAGCACAGCUCAUUAUGAGUUAUUACUACCUGUGUCCAAGCCAUCCCAUUCACAAAUGCGCCUUCAUGCAUUUUGUCAUCUGCAACUUAAGCUCUUGAGUGGAUGUUUACUCACAUGUAUGUAAUUAAAUAGUUACAUUGUACCUGCUGACAAGCAUAAUGUAAGAAUUACAGAAAGGUUUUAUAAAUUUAUCGCAAAAUCUCUUUUAAGUACUACAGCAAUGAUUUCUACUCAUUAACAUAAUUGUUGCUUUCUUGUUGUAGAACACAACAGUCUUUUUUUAUUUGGCUGAGUUAUGACCUGUCCUGCUAGGAUUACCAGAGGCGUGAGGCCAAAGGUAUGACGCCAGCAUCAGCGCUCACUAUUCAGCUGUGACGUGAAGCUGAUUCACAGUGGGUGUGUUGAGGCCCACCCUGACUGUCCUUCCUCCCUCCAAAGAGGAGAAGAAGAAAAGCAGUGCCACUCUGGUGUGUCUGGCCACUGGGGGAUUCCCCUCAGGUUGGAAACUGGGCUGGAAGGUGGGGGGCUGU